UAUUCUAAUAAUCUUACAACUUUUAUAUUUUUCUUCCAUCAAAGUUGUUCGUGGAAUCGUUUUUUCAAUCAAAUAUUUAAUUAUUUUCGAGUUUGCAAGUUUUCUUUAUACAUAUUAUUCUGUCUGUGUCUUACGUGCAAUAUCAGCUGUAUUGAAAUACAACUACCGUACAAAAAAUUCUUUUCAUAGUUGGCAAGCUGUAACGAAUUUAGCAAAUAACGAAUUACAAAUACUCUUAACAGUAUUGCGUGUGAAAACCCCUAAUAAUAGUCAGAGAAGUAUCAACUGAUGUCAGUUAUACAUAUUUAUACAUAAGUACAGUCGACUCAAUAGUGCGUCAGUUACUGCCAUCCCUGCUUAAAAUAAAGACAUAAAUGAAUAUCCGGUUUGGUAACCAGGAGGAUCUGUUUAACCCCAUAAAACGCGUUGUAUUAUGUUGCGCUAAUAAGAGUAACGCUAGAAAAAUAAAAAUAAUGAUCUGAAUUAAAAUAUUAUUUCAAACUCCUUAGUGAAAUAUUGUAAAUUGUUGGUUUAAUUAAUUUUGAAUAAGUCUAUUUUAGCGUAUGAUGUAAAUUUAAUAAUAACAGAGCUUAAUUUAUAAUAUACAAAUAACCAGAAGGCGUAACAUUCUUCACAUUGGUUGACUAUUUAUUGGCAAUUAGCAAACUGCUUGAAAAAAUAUAUAACAUCAACAUACAAUCAAAAGUA